AGCGGCUCCUGCUUCCAGCCCCGGAAGUCACAGAAGUCUCUGAUCUUUCUCUUUACCAUCACCACAUGCCUUCCCUUUUGUUUCACAAGGGAGUGACACCAGCAAGAUGGCAGACUAGGAGGUCCCACCACAUGCCUGCUCAGCAACAACCAUUUGGCAGCCAUCUUGGACAGAAGUGCCUUUAUGGGAACUUUGGGAUCCAGGGACAAAGAGAAUGCAAAAUGUGCUGUGACAUCAGAGCUACAAAGGAAAUCAAAAUGCCUAUUUACAGAGGGUACAAGAACUUUCUUCAGCCAGGCAGCCACGCCUGUCCCUUUUGGUUCCACUGACUUCGAACUGGGCCAGGACUGCGCUGCA